rnacentral:rRNA from 1 species
GGCUCCAUUCCGAACCCGGCCGUUAAGUGCCGUCGCGCCGAUGGUACUGCGUCUCAAGACGUGGGAGAGUAGGUCGCCGCCAAACC